GACGAACGCUGGCGGCGUGCUUAACACAUGCAAGUCGAACGGAAAGGCCCUGCUUGCAGGGUACUCGAGUGGCGAACGGGUGAGUAACACGUGGGUGAUCUGCCCUGCACUUCGGGAUAAGCCUGGAAAACUGGGUCUAAUACCGGAUAGGAGCCAUUUUUAGUGUGAUGGUUGGAAAGUUUUUUCGGUGUAGGAUGAGCUCGCGGCCUAUCAGCUUGUUGGUGGGGUAAUGGCCUACCAAGGCGGCGACGGGUAGCCGGCCUGAGAGGGUGGACGGCCACAUUGGGACUGAGAUACGGCCCAGACUCCUACGGGAGGCAGCAGUGGGGAAUAUUGCACAAUGGGCGCAAGCCUGAUGCAGCGACGCCGCGUGGGGGAUGACUGCCUUCGGGUUGUAAACUCCUUUCGCUAGGGACGAAGCUUUUUGUGACGGUACCUAGAUAAGAAGCACCGGCUAACUACGUG
rnacentral:rRNA from 1 species